GGCGAACGGGUGAGUAACGCGUGGGUGAUCUGCCUUGCACUCUGGGAUAAGCUUGGGAAACUGGGUCUAAUACCGGAUAGGAACCGUCUUUAGUGUGGUGGUUGGAAAGUUUUUCGGUGCAAGAUGAGCUCGCGGCCUAUCAGCUUGUUGGUGGGGUAAUGGCCUACCAAGGCGUCGACGGGUAGCCGGCCUGAGAGGGUGUACGGCCACAUUGGGACUGAGAUACGGCCCAG
rnacentral:rRNA from 1 species